rfam:Dipodomys ordii contig_38503, whole genome shotgun sequence.
CUCUAGGCUUUUCUUUUGAGAGCCGAAAGCCACCUACAGAUCAAGAAACACAAUCU